ensembl:lncRNA
GGCGGGGCUCGGCCGCCUUCCCGUGGGCCGCGGCGGCGUCGCCUCCACGAAGACCUUGAGCCGCUUUCUCCUCCGCCCGCGGUGGCCGGGGCGGCAAUCCCGUGGACAGCCGGAGGCCUUCGAAGAGCCCGUCUAGUAAUUGAGUUGGUUGUUUAGAAAGGGGUUCCUCACAGGGAGAGUUUAGAAAAUUGUGCGCCCUGAGAGAAGUCUUCCCACUUUUUCUCCCACCACCCCCUGGUGAUAGUUUGAGGCCAUUUUUAGCCUGUGACCAGGUAAAUUUCCAGAAGUUUUGCAUAGGCGUGAGCGCGCCCACUUGCACUUUGAGUUACGGCCCAGAAUGAGUACGCCUUAAAGGGCUUGGGUUUACCUGAUGGCUGUUCUAGUGAGAACAGCGCGGGGCUGGAAACAAGAUGUUGCCGAGCCCUUCGGAGGCUGAGGACCAAGAGCCUGAGGACAGGGAAGGAAGGGGACGAGGACGGACAGGGGCAGCGUCGCUGCUGGCCGACGGGAAGCCGGCGGCGUUGGGCUGCUGUUUGUCUCGUUUCCGAUGUGACCCUUCUUCAGCACAGAACCGAACAAGCCCCCGUGGCCUCAGGUUUUAAGUCCCCUCUCACAGCCGAGCGGAACCCCCCAGGCACCUGUUCCCCAGGGCCCCUCCGGCGUCCACGUGGAGCGACCAGCCCAUUGAGCCGGGCGCCAGCCCCUUGUUCUGUGCUUCAGGCCCCACCAUCCGAGGGGAAAGCAAGGCCUGUGGGAGCGCUGGGGCUCGCUCCCCAGGGGCUCCAGGCUGCCUGCCCCCAGCGGGCACGGUGGGCGUGCACAUCUGUGUGAGCAUGAGGCGGGUUCACCCACCGAGGGCACUGCCGCCUCCUGCACCGAGGAGCCCCGGCCCCACUUCCAUGAGCAGCUUGGUACCCAGAGCACUUCCGGUGAGCCCCCCUCAGAUCUGACUUCUGCCUUCUUGGGUGGUCACUCUUCACUGAGCUGCAGCAUCCAGUGAUCCUUAGGAGCAGGGGAUUCAGAUUCAGUAAAUCUGUUUGUGAGGCUGGGGCUUGUCCACUUGAAAAAGCUUCUGGGGGUGAUUAGUGAACACCCCUAAUAAUUAGCUUUCAAAGAACGUGUUUAUAAACAGGCUACUACUUGUACGUUUAUGUCUGAGAGACCAAUGAAUAUAUUUCAGGCACUGGGUCUUUUUUUUUUUAGAGUUAGGACAUGAUACAUAGACCUUGUAAUUCUCCUAUCUGAUGCUUGCUUGUUGCAACCCUGAGUUUCCUGUUAAGCGAGGUAUUGCGGUGCCUGGGCUAGACCCCUGAUAGGCUGUCUGCACUGGCAGGUGUAAAUGCCACUAAUUAAUUUUUUAAGAAGUUGGCAGUGUGACAGAAUUAUCAGGGAUGCUGAGUAUCUGGUACUGGAUGUUUCUUUUGUUAAGGCCGUGGAGAGGUAAUGUCACACACAGGUCAUAAACCUGCGGACGUUUAAUCCUUUGGUCUGAGGUUGUGGAUUUAGGGGUGCUGAAUAUUUUCUUUAAUGGGUAGGGGAGGCUGUCCUGGUUUCCACUGGGCCUUCCCCGCCAUCCCCGCCAGCUCUUGCGGUAUUAUCUUCUGGUGAGGUGUUUACUCAAUUAUCAUCAGGCCCAGCUCUUGUUAGAAGAGGAUAAAUGGUACUUGGGCCCCUUUAUCUGGACCCUCUUGCUCACCAUUUUGCCACAGCUGAAGAGACAGCCUGUGCCUCUAACUGAGUCCAGUCUUUUUUUCACUCCUUGAUUGUGAAACAGCAGGAAAGUCAGCCGCUCAUCAGUUGUGUGCAGAUUCACAGCCUCUGCUCUCGCAGCUUAUGAAUGCACCAUUUGUUGUUUGGCGCACAACUGUUAGAUACAACUGGCCUUGCAGCCCACUCUGCCUGCAACCAGAGUACAUCACUG